rnacentral:lncRNA from 1 species
GUCCUCUGGGGCUGCACUCGUGGCCUGUGGAGCUUGGUCAGUAUCCUUUCACUGGGGCGGCACCCACCUCCUACCACCUCUCAGGACACGGGGACCAGGAGGGACUGGCUCUGCUGGGGCUUUGUUGAAGAGUUGCCAAGAAGUCAGACUCUUGGCAGGCAGCUGGGACACAGCUGCAGAGUAACGCAGCCGCUUUGCUCAACAGGUGAACUAGAAAAGAACCCCCCCCAAUCCCUCUCACCUCACCCUCCUGCCCCUCGUCACUGUGGCUCUUCAGACCCUCAGUAUCACGUGUCCAGACUUCCCAGCCACGCCUUUUGCUUCGUCUUCUAAGCUGGCCUUGUUUCUUCCUGAACUACAAACCUGGGCUCACCACAGAGCCUUUGCGCUUGCCAUGGUCUUGGACACUCUCCCUAGGAUACACUUGGCUUCCUGACACCUUCAGCCUUUGCUUAAACAUCUCAUUACAAUCUAGGCUGGCCAAUCCUCCUGAGAACAGAGGUCAACCUGUUGUUCUCAGCUCACCUCUAUCUUUGCCUUUAGGGACAGCACUUACCACCAGACCGUCCCGCUCCAUGCUGGGGGUCCCACAUGGGCCCGGCAUCAUGUGAGCAUCCUGUCAGAGGGACUUCUGUCCAUCUCACUCUGGGCUGCAGCCCUGGCAUCAAGAAUCAUUGAGAACAUAAGAGCAUCUUUUUGGGAAAACUGAGGCACAGAGGUGACAAAUUGCAUCUCCAGGACAGGCAAAAGCCCAGAUAAUGCCAAUGGUCGUACACUGCAGCAGUGUCCCCUGGCCUCCAACACUGCCCACUCUGGAGUCACUUCUGCUUCGUCUCCACCAUCUGACCUAGUGACUACAAGAUCCCGCGCCAUCAAGCCAAGGCCAAGAACUGGAGAUGAGGACUGGAGCCUGAGGACUGCACGUGAGCUGGAUGACUUUGGAUCAGUCACUUAACCACUCAGUCGCAGCCAGGGAGAACCUGAUGCCCUGCUCCUGGGUCAGCUUCAAGCAGUCUCUGCAGCUUCAGGACCUUUGCACAUGCCAGCCCUCUGUGCAGAACCUUCCCUGAACAACCACCACCCUUCUCCGUGACUGCCAGUCUGAGGCAUGUUCAGGUGACAUUUCCAGGACCUGUACAACAGCACGGCCUAUCCCUUCCCCGGGUCACUCCCAAGCCAGUACGCAGAGAACAUGGGCAGGUGGUCUCAUUACCAGGCUGACUUCCAACCUGGUCCUGCUGUCGUUCUGGAGCAAGGCGGCCUCCUGUGUCCCUCUUGGUACACACCCAGUGCCCUGAACUUGGCUAGCGUGAGCAGAAUGUGUGCGUCAAGUGUGUAACUGGGGCUGAAGAAGGAGCCAUGGCCACCUUAAGCCACUAGGUAAGGACAUGAAAGUGAGAGCCCUUCACUCCAGAUGAGAGGUAUCGCUGGCCGUCAUCAGGGUAAGACUCCCCCCUCCCCCAGGAGCUGAGAGGCAGAAGGCAGCAGUCUGGCAGACUGUAGCCCCCAGCCAGCAGGAGGUGACUCACCAGCCCCAUGAUGACAGGUGACAUUCCUUCUCUUCCCUGGAGGGAGGGGGGGACUUUGGCCUGGAGAUAAAGGGAGCCGGCCUCCCACUUCUGGGAAAAGGACAGACAACAGGGACAGUGGCCAGGCCACCUCCCCGGGGGGGGGGGGGGGGCAUCGCAUGUCUGCACAGGAGGACAGACACAGGCUGCCUCAUGAGGCCGGCUGCAUGGCCCAUAGCCUCCCUUCCCAGUUCAAGGCCUCUCUCCUGGGAGGUGGAGCCUCCCUUCUCCCUAUACACCACCCUAGCUCUUCAUAGCUGGUAGAGGUGCCCUCUAGGUGCCCUUUGCCUGUGGGCUUGGGUCAGAAGGAAAGGGGACUAGUCCAUGGGUGAAUUGAGAAAGUGGUGUCCAGGAGGGUGCUGCCUCGGUGGUGGGCUGUAUACUGCAUGUUCUUUCCAAUGCCUGGUUUCACUAUGUAGUCCUGGCUGGUAUGGAACUCACAGAGAUCUGCCUGCCUCUGCCUCCUGAAUCAUGGGGCGUUUGCCACCACGCCCAGCGUUCCUGAUGUAUUUCCAAAGCCUGUACCCGUGUGGCUGACAACCUAGCUAAGCCAUUAAAGUAUGCAUGGCUCUUCCACAACCCGAGUUCGGUUCCCAGCACCCUUCUUGGGUAGUUCACAGCCUCCUGUAAGUCCAGCUUAGGGAGGAGGCUCCAAUGCCCUCUCCUGACCUCCAGAGGGACCUGCGUUCAGGUGGUACUCAUACACGCCCAUAGGCACACACACACAUUCACAUAUAAAUGCAAAAAUAAUAAAUACAUCUUUUGA